AUGUGCUACUUCAGCACUAUAUUUACUAAAACUGGAAGGACACAGAGAAGGAUCAGCAGGGUCCUUGCUCCAGAAUGACACAAAUUCGUGAAUCAUUCGUUAAUGAA